AGGAGCCGUAUGAGAUGAAAACCUCAUGUACGGUUUUGGAACGGAGAUUUUUUGAAUAGAAUGAACAACCGUAAC
rnacentral:ncRNA from 1 species